GAGAGAGCGAGAGACGCAAACUAGUUAUAAAAAGAUAAGAUUUUUCAUUUAGAUAGAGAGAGAGAGAGAGAGAGAGUUAGAGAGAUAUGAGAACAAGGAGAGGGCUUUGUUACCCUAGAGUUGUUGAAGAUAAGAACAUGAGAGUUGUGAAGCGAAGGAGAGAUUUCGCCGCCGAACAAGUUAGUUACCGGAAAAGAAGCCGGAAUUCUUCUGAUAUCGCUGGAAAGCGUGACUUGUUCGAUUCCUUGCCGGACGAUCUCGUCAUUUCCAUUCUCUGCAAACUCAGCUCCUCCGCCACUUGCCCCUCCGAUUUCGCCAACGUUCUCCUCACAGCUGAGAGUGACUUGGAGGGUCUUAUAGAAAAGCAGUUUGAAGCACUACAGAAGGCAUUUAAGAUACCUCAUAAGGCCUAAGAAGCUCGUUUGAUGGUAUCAAAAAUGUUUCUGACUUUAUUUAGGGAAGGCAAACUUGGUCCUUUCAUCUUUGAUAAUGUCUAUGAUGCAAAUGUUGUGUCCUCCGCUGUAACUUCUAAGGUUUCUUUUUUCUUUUUCUUUAAUUACUUUUAUCAAAUUGUAUUGCUUAUUCUAUCUGAUAAAGCUUACCAAAUUCUUAAAUGCAUAGUACUUGCCAGCAGUUUUAAAUACUCAAGGGACUCCCCUUCAUUGGAAGCACUUGAACAAUUGGAGACUGGAAGGGAUUCAAUACGAUUCUAAGGAAAAACAUGAGUAUAAUAUUAAAGAUUUUCGGCCAAAAAGUAGGAAGUUGCCAAAUGACUCUGAUAUGCUUUACAUUGAGUAAUAUAGGAUCGUUCUCAUUUAAUCAUUUUAUCCAGGACGACCCAAAGUAUUUUAAAAAUUUUUGUCACAUGACAAGUUUGAAAGGAGACAAACUUAACUAUGGGCAUAAGAAAAAUUGUUCUAGGGACAACAUAGAACCAAAUAAACUUCAUGAUAAGUUUUGUCGUUGAGAUAUUACACGCGUUAGACACUAUUUUUGUUUUACAAAUGGAUGGCAAAUUAUCAAAUCAGAAAUUUUUUCUGGGAAAUUUAGUUUUCUUGUCAUAAAUGAAGAUUUAUUUUUGAUAACAUAUUUCUAGUCAUGAAUGUGUUACAGUGAGCCUAUGUUUUGAUAAUAUAUUUUACUGACAUUCAUGUAGGACAUAAUGAAGUUAUUCUGUUGUGCUUACUGUAUGAAGGAGUUUUUUAUGACCAGGGACAAGAAAGGAGAAUGUAAACUUGAAAUGUGGGCGAAUGCUAGACAGACUGACAGAGUCAAUGAACUAUGACUUUAGAUAUGACAGGCUUAAUUUGAAACAGAUGAUCAGUACGUUCAGACAAAAUAAUUUGGUUUCUAGUUUCAGUAGAAGGCUUUUAAGAAGGAUGUGAAGUUUUUUUGUUAUUUUUUACAGUAAUGUUGUUUUGUUAAUACUGAAAAAAAAAAAAAAAAAAUGAAGAAUUGCGGAAAGAGUGAAUGACAACAAUUUAUAUAGGUUUUACCUAGUGCACAAAGCUCCAACUUUUGUGGGGUGCCCUUGUUCAUGCUUAUUAGAUAGUGGAUGGCAGUCCCGUCUUGUGCAUGUGAGUGUCGGUCAGUGCCCUUGUCCAUGCUUCUUAGAUAGUGACAGUGAGGAGCUCGUACUCACGCUGAUUUAUUGAAAUAUGGGUCGUGAUGAUGGUGGCUUAUCAUGGUUCAUGUACCAAAAGCUACUGGAGUUCAAGCUGAAGGAAGUGAUUUCAAGGGAACCUACUCUACUUGUUUAGGUGGUUGGUGUUCCUAAUGUUGGCAAGUCAUCUUUAAUUAAUUUGAUCCAUCAAAUUGUGUCAUCUUGCUUUCCUGUGCAGGAGAAUAUGAAGCUACACUUGGCCUGUUGCCUAGUGUUACUCAAGACAUUGCUAAAUACAAGGUCAAGAGAUUCUUUGCUUUAUGGUUUAUACACCUUAUAAAGUAAGAGACUGAAAUUUUAGCUUCAUGUGUCUUUCAUAGUUAUUAGCAUUCAAUAAUUAAGACUAUAUCUGAGAAUGAGAUUGAACCCUGAUAUUAAUAUUGUUUGUAGGAAGAUCUCAUAGGUUUGGUUGUGAAUUGUUUUAUUGACAAUUAUCACUUAACAUUUAGUUCAUGUUCUUGCUUUUAUGAGCCGCAGACUGGUUUCACGGAAGUUAUGGACUUAUUUCUAACUUGUGCUAUAGUAUUUGACCACAGAUAAAGUGAAGGGGAUUACUAUGACUUAUAUUAUAUUUUUGGCUUAAUUGAUUGAUGUUCCCCCUAUUUUGCUAGCUUUCUUACUAAUUUAUAUAUCUAUUUUUUUCUUUUGAUUUUUUUUUAAGCUAGUAAGUAUUUGUAAGUUUAUAGGAAUAAGGGGAAUAAACUAUCAGGGUUAGGUCUCUGGUUUGAUUAUUGAAAGCUUGUAAUAACUAAGUCAGUUGCAGAAGCUUUAUUCAAAGAUAUGUAUUGGGUGUGAGGCUAAUCAUCAAGCAUUUGGCUGGUUCAUUUUCUUUUUUAAUCUUAAUUUUCUUCUAUAUUACUUUUGCCUUCUGUUGUUAAUUUGUGGCUAAAUACUUCUGUUUCAACAUUUAUGAAUGUUUAAAUGUUGACAUUGAAUUAUGAAGGUACAGAUUGUGCAUCAGCCUAUCAUAUAUGUCCUAGACACUCCGGGUGUAUUGGUUCCAAGUAUCUCUGACAUAGAGACAGGGCUGAAGCUGGCUCUUGCAGAAAAAAACAAGUGAGUCUCCAAUCGCUAUUCAGAGAGGCCAUAGAGCACUCAACCUGAGCUGAUUUGGUUGCAACAAACCAACUGGAUUCAGCUUCAAUUAUGUUGGGUAAGGCCUAAAAGUUAUAUGCCUCAAGUUAUGUCAGUGAGAUAAACCCUCUUGUUGACCUCCAACCAACACAGGUUGCCCAAGCUGUAGCUUCUAAAAUAUUUUACUUGGUGUCUUUGAAUUUUAUCAGUCUAUUUUAUUUUAUUUUUGUGUAUAUGUGGAUUUUUUUUGGGUUGGGGAGAGUUAUUCAAUUCAACAUGAAAUUACUUUUGUCACAUUGUUCUGAUUACUGUAUCUGAUAAAGCUUACCAAACUCUUAAAUGCACAUGAAGGGGCCCGUAAGAGAUUCAGUGGUAGGUGAGAAGCGAAUUGCACAAAACUUGCUGGCAGUUUUAAAUACUCAAGGAGCUCCCUACAUUGGAAGCACUUGAACAAUAGGAGAUUGGAAGGGAUUCGAUAUGAUUCUAAGGAAAAACGGCACAAGCUUGUCAACUUAUGAAGCAUCUACCCUUGCUUUAAUGGAUGGAUCUAUCUAUGCCAAUAUGGAUAAUAUCAAAGGGAAUUCUCAUAGCAUAAAUUCAAUUCUAAACAUUAUAGUAGUGGAGAUUAAAGCAAUUCUUUGGUGAAAAAUCCAAGUGUUCUGACUCCUUUAGCAUAAGAAGGAUUUGAAAAAUGACACUUAUUGUUCCGAAAGCAACAACCUAUAAUUUUACACCUUUGCCUUUUCCUAUCUUUUCCCCUCUAAUUACUGGGAAAUUAUUAGGUAGUUCGGGACUACAAAGUCAACAUGUUGUCCUUGUAGUCCCAGCCAAUAGAGGGAAGACGCAUCAUGAAAAAUGAAUGACAUCAUCUUAGCUGCCACAUCAUUCUAAGACACCCACAGAUUUUAACAUCGUUAGUCCUGUCCAUUAACUUGUCAGCAAAUUUCAAAUUUUCAUUUGGGAAUUGGGCGGGUCGGUGAGAGAUUUCAGAAGGUAAAAGCUUUCAAAAUUCAUUAUUUUGAAAAUUCUCUUUUUUUCUUUUUUUUUCCUCUCUCUCUGAUGGUCCAUCUCCAUGUUCAUUAUCAUCACUAUUAGCUACUUCAUCUGUUACUGUCCAGGCCUACGGAUAUCUCAUGGCUAAAUGACAACUUUUUUAGUUUUUUUACUUGGUAAAUUCGAACUUCUUCUUUUUUUUUUCUUCUUCGUUCUUAGCUCAAUAUUAUCUGGGUCAAGUUCCUAUUGCCUUUUGUUUUUAUAUUAAAUGGGUCAAGCCUUAAUGGUGUUCCUUUAGUGGCACUUUGUUGGAAUCUUAGGUUCUGUAAUACAUGGACACGGGUUUCAGAUUUGAUUUAUAGUUUAACUUUAUCGAUUGUUAAAUAUGAGUAAUAGUUUUGUUUUUUUUUUUUCCUAUAAAAAAAAAAAUGUUUUAGUUUUUGUUGGAUUUGAUUUGAUCAGAUAACUUUUGAGGGUGGUUGGGAUCAAAAGUGCUUGAUUUAGGAAAAGCGUCAAUGUCCCAAUUUUUAUUAUUAUUAUUUUUUGGAGGCAUAGAAAGUGUUUGUUGAAAUGCCUCAUAGAGUUUUGGCUUAUCUAAACUUGUUAUGGCUUUGUAUCCAUGUUUAUGUGGUUCUACCUUUUUUUUUAGAUGUUAAAUCUGGUGUAUUGAAUAGUUUAUUUCUCAAAUUGAAAUAAUUCUAUGAAAUUUCUUUUCCUAUAUCAUGUAAAAAAAUUACAAUAUUUCACUUUUCUUUUGUCAUUUUGAUUAUGAUUUCGUUUUAUGCUAUAGAUCCUCUUAGAGACUUUAUUUAUACUCUCUAAUGCUAUGAGGAACACAAUGGAUUAAUUUGCAACAUGCCAUAAUGCCACCUUGGUUAUAGAACGUUGUGAAGUGCCAACUUUUCUUUGUUUUGUGAUUUUGAUAGCGGCCUAUGGAUAAUUUUUAUAGUUAAACUUGAUGUUGGUUGCUUCAACAUGGAUGUAGAGUCUGCAGACAUGCAGCUACUGCAAUGUACCUCUCAAUCUACUUUAGCAAUGGCAAUCCAUUCCUGACCAAUUUAAGCGAAGUUGUUGGACAAAAUGGCUGGCUUCAGUUAUGAUUCAAACAAGCAUCACCAUUCAACAAGGGGACUCUAGGCUAGCUAAAUAGUAUGAAUAUCUUGCAGUAGCAACAUAAGAAGCAAAUUUCAAGCAACGUGGAUAAGCAUGAGUGUUCCUUUAUCCAAGGGAGCUGUUAGUAGUCUAUUAGAAUUAGACUUUAGCCAAUAGGUAGAUUUUUCAGAUUGAGUUAUUAGUUUAUUAUUUGUUCUUGGAUAUUAUCAAGUUGAUGUUGUAUCAAUUAGUACUCCUCUAUCUCUAUGUCAAGUUGAUGUUUACAGGAUGUAUGAAUUAUUCAUCUCAAAUAGAAUGUAUUUGAUAUUAUGUUAGAUUGCUCAAAGCAAAUUCAUGAUUUAUGAA